AUAAAUCCAAUGAGAAGGAAGAGUACCUGUGUUAACUAUGUUUCAGAGAGUUGAGGGUGGUGUGAUCUCAAUACAGAAGUAUGCAGGGAAUGGACCUUUAAGGAGUAAGCCGAAACCUUAUUAAGGUAGUAGUACUUAACGGGAUCCGCCCGUGAAAGCGGUAAGACAUGAUAGUGUCUGAAUGAGAUGUGCUUAUAAUAAGCAUAAUUUAGGUGGUACCGCGAAUAUAACUUCGCCCUAUUG
rnacentral:ncRNA from 1 species